UGAGGCUGUGGCUCAGCGGUAGAGCACUCGCCUUGCACGUGCAAGGCCCUGGGUUCAAUCCUCAGCAUCACAA
rnacentral:tRNA from 1 species